rnacentral:rRNA from 1 species
UACGGAGGGUGCGAGCGUUAAUCGGAAUAACUGGGCGUAAGGCGCACGCGGGCGGUCAAUUAAGUCAGAUGUGAAAGCCCCGAGCUUAACUUGGGAAUUGCAUCUGAUACUGGUCAGCUAGAGUCUUGUAGAGGGGGGUAGAAUUCCAUGUGUAGCGGCGAAAUGCGUAGAGAUGUGGAGGAAUACCGGUGGCGAAGGCGGCCCCCUGGACAAAGACUGACGCUCAGGUGCGAAAGCGUGGGGAGCAAACAGG